rfam:Drosophila ficusphila unplaced genomic scaffold scf7180000453842, whole genome shotgun sequence
GUAGCAGCAACAAGAAAGUGUUUGAGUUCAUUCAGUUUAUUCAAGCGCUGAUACAAUGCUGCCAGAACAAUUUUAAUGCCAAGAACAGUUCAGUUUAGUGCAGUUUAAAAACUGAUCUACACGUGGCCUUACAAUC